GAUGAACGCUGGCGGCGUGCCUAAUACGUGCAAGUCGAGCGAACGGACGAGAAGCUUGCUUCUCUGAUGUUAGCGGCGGACGGGUGAGUAACACGUGGAUAACCUACCUAUAAGACUGGGAUAACUUCGGGAAACCGGAGCUAAUACCGGAUAAUAUUUUGAACCGCAUGGUUCAAAAGUGAAAGACGGUCUUGCUGUCACUUAUAGAUGGAUCCGCGCUGCAUUAGCUAGUUGGUAAGGUAACGGCUUACCAAGGCAACGAUGCAUAGCCGACCUGAGAGGGUGAUCGGCCACACUGGAACUGAGACACGGUCCAGACUCCUACGGGAGGCAGCAGUAGGGAACCUUCCGCAAUGGGCGAAAGCCUGACGGAGCAACGCCGCGUGAGUGAUGAAGGUCUUCGGAUCGUAAAACUCUGUUAUUAGGGAAGAACAUAUGUGUAAGUAACUGUGCACAUCUUGACGGUACCUAAUCAGAAAGCCACGGCUAACUACGUG
rnacentral:rRNA from 1 species